rnacentral:rRNA from 1 species
UACGUAGGGGGCAAGCGUUGUUCGGAAUUACUGGGCGUAAAGGGCGCGUAGGCGGCACGGCAAGUCAGAAGUGAAAGGCCUGGGCUCAACCGAGGAACUGCUUUUGAGACUGCCGAGCUAGAGUGCGGAAGGGGCAACCGGAAUUCCCAGUGUAGCGGUGAAAUGCGUAGAUAUUGGGAAGAACACCUGAGGCGAAGGCGGGUUGCUGGGCCGACACUGACGCUGAGGCGCGAAAGCCAGGGGAGCGAACGGG